rnacentral:tRNA from 1 species
AUUUAAGUAGUUUAAUUUAAAAUAUUGAUUUGUGAUAUCAAAGAUAUAAAAAUAAUUAUCUUAAAUU